rnacentral:rRNA from 1 species
GACGAACGCUGGCGGCGUGCUUAACACAUGCAAGUCGAACGGAGUGGCGAACGGGUGAGUAACACGUGGGUGAUCUGCCUUGCACUUCGGGAUAAGCUUGGGAAACUGGGUCUAAUACCGGAUAGUGCAAGAUUAGCUCGCGGCCUAUCAGCUUGUUGGUGGGGUAAUGGCCUACCAAGUCGUCGACGGGUAGCCGGCCUGAGCGGGGGUACGGCAACAUGGGGACUGAGAUACGGCACAGACUCCUACGGGAGGCAGCAGUGGGGAAUAUUGCACAAUGGGCGGAAGCCAGAUGCAGCGAUGCCGCGUGGGUGAUGAAGGCCUGCUGGUUGUAAACUCCUUUCGACAGGGACGCGGUACCUGUAUAAGAAGCACCGGCUAACUACGUGCCAGCAGCCGCGGUAAUAC